CCUACGGGAGGCAGCAGUGAGGAAUAUUGGUCAAUGGCCGGAAGGCUGAACCAGCCAAGCCGCGUGAAGGACGAAGGUGCCAAGCAUUGUAAACUUCUUUUGUCAAGGGACAAAAUCAGGCUCGAGAGCCUGACCGAGGGUACUUGAAGAAAAAGCAUCGGCUAACUCCGUGCCAGCAGCCGCGGUAAUACGGAGGAUGCGAGCGUUAUCCGGAUUUAUUGGGUUUAAAGGGUGCGUAGGCGGGCUGUUAAGUCAGCGGUAAAAGCCCGGGGCUCAACCUCGGCGAGCCGUUGAAACUGGCUGUCUUGAGAUGUCGAGAGGUAUGCGGAAUGCGCAGUGUAGCGGUGAAAUGCUUAGAUAUUGCGCAGAACUCCGAUUGCGAAGGCAGCAUACUGGCGGCGAUCUGACGCUGAGGCACGAAAGCGUGGGUAUCGAACAGGAUUAGAUACCCUUGUAGUC
rnacentral:rRNA from 1 species